GACGAACCGUCCAAACGUUAUUCGGAAUCACUGGGCUUAAAGGGCGCGUAGGUGGGUUGGCCAGUCUAUGGUGAAAUCCUCCGGCUUAACCGGAGAACUGCCGUGGAUACUGCCAGUCUCGAGGAGGGUAGGGGCGUCUGGAACUAGCGGUGGAGCGGUGAAAUGCGUUGAUAUCGCUAGGAACUCCGGUGGCGAAGGCGAGACGCUGGACCCUUUCUGACACUGAGGCGCGAAAGCCAGGGGAGCGAACGGG
rnacentral:rRNA from 1 species